rnacentral:rRNA from 1 species
AGCGGCGAACGGCGUAGUAAGACGUAGGAACAUACCCUCGGGACGGGGAUAGCUACGGGAAACUGUAGGUAAUACCCGAUAAUCUCUGCGGAGCAAAGGUGUGAUUCCGCCUGGGGAGCGGCUUACGCGAUAUUAGCUAGUUGGUGGGGUAAUGGCCUACCAAGGCGAUGAUGUCUAGGGGGUGUGAGAGCAUGGCCCCCACGACCGGAACUGAGAUACUGUCCGGACACCUACGGGUGGCUGCAGUCGAGAAUCUUCCGCAAUGGACGAAAGUCUGACGGAGCGACGCCGCGUGCGGGAUGAAGGCCCUUGGGUUGUAAACCGCUGUCAGAGGGGAUGGAAUCUUCGGAGGUACUCCUCCGAAGUUGACAGAGCCUCAAAGGAAGCACGGGCUAAGUACGUGCCAGCAGCCGCGGUAACACGUACUGUGCGAACGUUAUUCGGAAUCACUGGGCUUAAAGGGUGCGUAGGCGGCGAUUCAAGUCAGAUGUGAAAUGCCUGAGCUCAACUGAGGCAUUGCGUUUGAAACUGAAUUGCUAGAGUAUCCUAGGGGUGUGCGGAACUGCCAGUGGAACGGUGAAAUGUGUUGAUAUUGGCAGGAACACCGGGGGCGAAAGCGGCACACUGGGGGAUAACUGACGCUGAGGCACGAAAGCCAAGGGAGCGAACGGGAUUAGAUACCCCGGUAGUCUUGGCCGUA